GACGGAAUAGCUCAGUUGGAUAACACUCUCACUGUGUCUCAUGUAAUCAGAGUGUCCCCGGUUCAAUCCCGGGGUCUGUCA